rnacentral:rRNA from 1 species
CAGAGGUGCCAAGCGUUGUUCGGAUUUAUUGGGCGUAAAGGGUGCGUAGGCGGUGAUGCAAGUCGGGUGUGAAAUACCGGAGCCUAACUCCGGAACGGCAUUUGAAACUGCAUCGCUAGAGAUCUGGAGAGGUGAGUGGAAUUCUCGGUGUAGCAGUGAAAUGCGUAGAUAUCGAGAGGAACACCAGAGGCGAAAGCGACUCACUGGACAGAAUCUGACGCUGAGGCACGAAAGCUAGGGGAGCAAACGGGAUCAGAUACCCCGGUAGUCCUAGCCGUAAACGGUGCGUAUUUGAGGUAGGAGGAUUCGACCCCUUCUGUCUCGCAGCUAACGCGCUAAAUACGCCGCCUGGGGAGUACGGUCGCAAGAUUA